rnacentral:rRNA from 1 species
GACAGAGGGUGCAAACGUUGUUCGGAAUUACUGGGCGUAAAGCGUGCGUAGACGGUUAUGUAAGUCGGGUGUGAAAGCCCCGGGCUCAACCUGGGAAUGCCAUUCGAGACUGCAUAGCUAGGGUGCGGAAGAGGGAAGCGGAAUUUCCGGUGUAGCGGUGAAAUGCGUAGAUAUCGGAAGGAACACCAGUGGCGAAAGCGGCCUCCUGGUCCAGCACCGACGUUCAGGCACGAAAGCGUGGGAGCAAACAGG